AGAGUUUGAUCCUGGCUCAGGACGAACGCUGGCGGUGUGCUUCACACAUGCAAGUCGAGCGAAUGAAGAAGGUAGCUUGCUACUUUUGGAUUUAGCGGCGGACGGGUGAGUAAUAUAUAGGAAUCUGCCCUAGAGCGGGGAACAACAGACCGAAAGGUUUGCUAAUGCCCCAUAGGUACGCAGUCUUCGGAUUGUUUAUUAAAGGAGUAAUCCACUCUAGGAUGAGCCUGUAUCCGAUUAGCUAGUUGGCGGGGUAAAGGCCCACCAAGGCUACGAUCGGUAGUUGGUCUGAGAGGAUGAUCAGCCACAAUGGGACUGAGACACGGCCCAUACUCCUACGGGAGGCAGCAGUGGGGAAUUUUACACAAUGGGGGAAACCCUGAUGUAGCGACACCGCGUGAACGAAGAAGCCUUUUGGGGUGUAAAGUUCUGUCGGCUGGAACGAAAAAAAUGACGGUACCAGCAAAGGAAGCAUCGGCUAACUACGUACCAGCAGCCGCGGUAAGACGUAGGAUGCAAGCGUUGUCCGGAUUUAUUGGGCGUAAAGAGUUCGUAGGCGGUUAUUUAAGUCUGGUGUUAAAUACUGUGGCCCAACCACAGAACUGCAUUGGAUACUGGAUGACUUGAGUGCGGUAGAGGCGAGUGGAAUUCCCAGUGUAGCGGUGAAAUGCGUAGA
rnacentral:rRNA from 1 species